AGCCGCUCAGAAAAACUGGAAAAAUUUUGCUGAACCUGUUCUUCCAUACUUCUUUGGGACAAGCACUCAUAAUGCAUUGUUAUGUAUAUAAAGUAAUUUUCCUGGUUCCAGUAAUAAUUUUUUUUUUAAUCCAUUAGAGUCAAUAAAUAUGUGCUCUGGUUUUUGGUUGUUUAUUGAAAUGAGAUUAUCAUGGGAAAAUACAAAUUUGCAGAAUUGUACUUACUAACAAAUCCCAGUGUACCAGACAACAGAGAACCGUACUCAGGCAGAAAAGUAAGCAGGACCCUUUCUAAAAUGUCCCUUGCCCUGAGUCAUGGUGAUGAUGGAGCAGAUCCUCACACUGUAUAAACCAACAUGGUGCCCUUAAGGGCAGUGGAGUGCUGGUGAAGUGCCACUGGAUGCCUAAAUUGUCUGAGAGAAACUGGCAUGGUUCUGGGCUUUGUCACGUGUACUGACUUGCUGAUUUAUUAUUAAAGUCUAGGGGUGCACAGGAGAACUGGACAAUGUACACUGGGCUGCUCUUUUGAGUUUCUUAGGAAGGCUGCAAUGUGCACCCAGAGAUUUUAACAGGGCUGCUCAGAAGGUACAACUGGGAGCAUGAAUUAAGAAAAUGGAGAGAGUGAGAAGGCUCAGGGAAAGAGGAGAGUUUAAACAUAUUUUUAGACUUGCAAGACUACAGCUGUGGGAAUAAUUUAAAAAACACAUUUUUUGGAUAAUUUAUUUUUGAAACUCUGCAAAAUUUGUCAAAUCAUUUAUUUGAUGAGCAUUAUUUGACCAGCUGUACAGAGAGCCACACUGGAGUGCUGUAAUGAGUGCUUUGGAAUGCGACCAGCGUUAAUGUGCCUGUGAUAGCUGGAUAAUUCUUUUACCCUGCUCAUUUCUGUGGUUUGCCUGUAACUAUGGCCCCACUUGAUUGCUGUUACGAUGUGAGCUUUGAAUUCUCUCUCUCCUUUGGCCUUUUCCUUUUGGCAGUUCCUGCCGAGCUGAGCCCUGAUUAGAACCACAGCAGGUUAUUUGAUCUUCAGAUGGCUAUAAAAGGUCUGUGCAAGUGACCAUCUCGCUCCUGUCCCAAAUGGAUGAUCACGCAUAGCGCACAUUGCCGCACUCCUGGCAGGACUUCAGCAAAACUGGCGAGUUUUCCCUUCCCGAGCUAAAGCAUAACCCAAGUACUAUUCAAAUGGUGGAGUUACAGAAGUCUGAAGUUUCAAUCCCAGCUUGAAGAAGCGAUGUGGAUCUAAGGAGGCAUACCACAGACAGUACUAGACAUGGCUCAGAGGAUGCAUGGGUGAAGGAAGUGAUCCUGAACAGUGGAGGCAGAAGUGGAAGAAGCUGCUGCUGGAAGACAAAUGGUUGCUUCAUGGGGAAAACCCCUUUGAUUGUAAAUUUUUAUUAUUUUAAAAUAUAAAAAGAAUAUUCUGCUGCAUGUCUCUGUUAGAGAAGAGUGUAUCUAAAAGCAUGGUGGGCAUGUGGAGGAGCAUGUGGAGAUGGUAAAGACGUUUAUCCUAGUUUCCUAUAUCCUUACUCACAUUUUGCACAUCUUCGGAGUACACACCCUGAGCACAGGCGGAAUCAGACAUCAUGGCUCACCAAGCUGUAUGGAUGAAAUGAUAGCCUGUUCCCAGAAUCCUCUAUAGGUUAAAGGCUUCUUCAUGACAUCUGUGACCUUGGUGUAGCUCAGCCAUAUGAUGAUGAGGGCAGAAGACACAGCCAAGGCAUUCUCUGCUAGGACAGGCUCCCAGCUGCCCAUUAGCAAAAAGAAGUGUCACUUGAAGCUGUUUUUGGAGG